rnacentral:lncRNA from 1 species
AUAGGCAAUUCUUUUCCUAAAUGGGCCUUAAAAUCAAUGGGUUAUUAGCUCUCCUUCUCCUCCCCAUGAUGAAAGCAAAGUCCUGUUAAACAUGCAAACUGCACAAUAUUCAGAAGCCUCGGUUUACAAAAGUGUUUUGCUCAGCUAGACCCUAAUUUAAUUUAUUUAUAGCUAACAUAAAUAAUACGGAGAUUUACACCUCUCUUAUGUGUAUGAAUUUUCCUUGAAGCAUAUGUUUCUUCGCUGCAGUCACCACCGCCGAUGAGGAAUUAUUUUAAGGGCCUGACUCACCUGGGUGAGUGCUUACUCAUCUAGUUAGUCCUACUGGAUUGGGAGAAUUCAUCCCAACGUGGUGCCUGAGCGUGCUGGACCAGAUGGAUGGAAGUAUUUGUCCUGUAUGCAGGUAGGCUUUUGUUGGAGGGGGGGUGAGCACAUCAUUUGCUUCAAGCUGUUUUAGRCAUUUGCCUUUGAUGCUGUGUUUCCCUUGCCUUUCUCAAGUCUUUUAAGCUCCUUUUUCUUGUGCCUCACAGCAGCGUUAGGCACCUAACAACAGAAUAAAUAUUUGUUAGGUGCCUACGUGUUUCUGAGGACCUGAGUUCACCUCCUGUAGUGGGGACCCAAAUCACCAAUGUGCUUUUGCCACUCUUGUUUGGGGACCAUCUUCAUUUCUUGGCAUCUGAGUACUCUUAAACAUCUGCUCUUAACGUCAGAACUGGAAUGGUAUUUAGGUAUUUUACUCCCCUGGAUUUCACUUGAGGACAAGAGCCAAAAUACUCUCUCCAGGUCACUGUGCAAAAUAGGAGACAGGCACUUAAAGGCACAUCUGCACUGAAUUCAGAAACGUCCACACAUCCAUUGUAGAGGAUUUUUUUUUUUUGCCUCUCCAAAAGCCUUACCGUGAUUCUUCCCCUGUGUCUCAUCAGCUGCGUCGCGCCGCCUCCUGUCCCCAAGGAGAUGUCCGAAGUCGGCUCUCCGGCUCCGGGGCAGCGAGAGGAGCUGGUGGGAGCAGACCUGAAGGGUUUCCCCAGCCCAGUGGUCGUGCCGGGGGCCGGCUGGAGGCGUGUUUGGCUGCACCGGGCUGCUUUGCAAUAGAUUUUUUYCCAGCAGUGAAUGGGUUUAGAUAUACUAAAUUGGGAACACUUUUUUUCCCCCCCCUUUUGGUAGGCCGCAGGGCUGCACACAGGUCACAGGAAUGUGUUGUUUGCAGUAAAAAGAUGGGGGUGACAUGAGCUGUGGAGUCCUUACGUCCUUCAGUGGUAAA